UCGAGGGGCAGCAUGAAGUUUGCUUGCAAACUUUGAUGGCGACCGGCGCACGGGUGAGUAACACGUAUCCAACCUGCCUUUCACUCGGGAAUAGCCUUUCGAAAGAAAGAUUAAUGUCCGAUGGCACGGAAGUUUCGCAUGAGACUUCCUUUAAAGAAUUUCGGUGGAAGAUGGGGAUGCGUUCCAUUAGGCAGUUGGCGGGGUAACGGCCCACCAAACCGACGAUGGAUAGGGGUUCUGAGAGGAAGGUCCCCCACAUUGGAACUGAGACACGGUCCAAACUCUUACGGGAGGCAGCAGUGAGGAAUAUUGGUCAAUGGACGAGAGUCUGAACCAGCCAAGUAGCGUGAAGGAUGACUGCCCUAUGGGUUGUAAACUUCUUUUAUACGGGAAUAAAGUGAAGCACGUGUGCUUUUUUGUAUGUACCGUAUGAAUAAGGAUCGGCUAACUCCGUGCCAGCAGCCGCGGUAAUACGGAGGAUCCGAGCGUUAUCCGGAUUUAUUGGGUUUAAAGGGAGCGUAGGCGGAAGUUUAAGUCAGUUGUGAAAGUUUGCGGCUCAACCGUAAAAUUGCAGUUGAUACUGGAUUUCUUAGUGCACACAGGGAUGCUGGAAUUCAUGGUGUAGCGGUGAAAUGCUCAGAUAUCAUGAAGAACUCCGAUCGCGAAGGCAGGUAUCCGGGGUGCAACUGACGCUGAGGCUCGAAAGUGCGGGUAUCAAACAGGAUUAGAUACCCUGGUAGUCCGCACAGUAAACGAUGAAUACUCGCGGUUGGCGAUACACUGUCAGCCGCCAAGCGAAAGCGUUAAGUAUUCCACCUGGGGAGUACGCCGGCAACGGUGAAACUCAAAGGAAUUGACGGGGGCCCGCACAAGCGGAGGAACAUGUGGUUUAAUUCGAUGAUACGCGAGGAACCUUACCCGGGCUUGAACUGAGGGGGAAUGAAUCAGAGAUGAUUCAGUCUUCGGACUCCCUUGGAGGUGCUGCAUGGUUGUCGUCAGCUCGUGCCGUGAGGUGUCGGCUUAAGUGCCAUAACGAGCGCAACCCUCAUCCUCGUUUGCCAUCAGGUAAUGCUGGGCACUCCGGGGAUACUGCCAUCGUAAGAUGUGAGGAAGGUGGGGAUGACGUCAAAUCAGCACGGCCCUUACGUCCGGGGCUACACACGUGUUACAAUGGGCGGUACAGAGGGCAGCUACCACGCGAGUGGACGCUAAUCCUCAAAGCCGUUCUCAGUUCGGACUGGAGUCUGCAACCCGACUCCACGAAGCUGGAUUCGCUAGUAAUCGCGCAUCAGCCAUGGCGCGGUGAAUACGUUCCCGGGCCUUGUACACACCGCCCGUCAAGCCAGAAAGCCGGGAGCACC
rnacentral:rRNA from 1 species